rnacentral:pre_miRNA from 1 species
UGUGCACCAGUGGGGUCCCUCAGCCUGGCCUGUGCCUUCUCGCAAUCUGGGACCCCUUGGGGGAUGUUGGGCUGCUGGUUUCAACCCAAUCCCUGCAGGCCAGGCUGAGGGACCUCACUGGUGCAUG